rnacentral:lncRNA from 1 species
AGGAAGUGUAAUUUGCAUUCCAGUAGUGCAAUUGACAAUCAAAGUAGUCCCAACUACUUGAUACACAUGCCUUUGCAUUGUCAAUAAGCUAACUCACCUCUCCUUCAGCUAACUUUAGCAUCGAAGGGCCUUCAACCGAUACCACACUAGAACCUUAGGUCUCACCUAUUUUCUUCUCUCUUUAGCAUAGAUUCAGCAUUACCGACGAAGAGAGAGCGUUUACUAAAGGCAGAUCUGAUCCCUCGAUCAUUC